GAAUUUCUCUUCCAAUUGAUUUAUUUGCUUACCUUGCUAUUGAUUGCUUGUUCUUGUUACAUGUUGCUUAGUUAUUGCAUUUCUAGCCUGUUUCACUGAAAACACUCGACCACAUCUUUAGCAUAUUAAUAGAGACUUUUAACUGAACCAAAAUACAAGUUAACCAAUGUCUCAAUCACAAAGUAUUCAAUUACAACAAAACACAAAGAACUAAAUUCAUUUAGCACAAAACACUAAAGCAUAAAAUUCAUUUAGAACAGAACAGGGAGACUGAUUCAAGACAUUAAAGACAUCAUUCAAGCAUUUGACAGCAUGAUGUCGACAGUUUUACUUAACAGCUACCAAGAAUUUAUCACAAACAAGACAUUUAACAAGAAACUUAAAACUUUACCUAAUGAAUAGCUAAAGAGUUAAAGAAAGAAGAAUUGCCUUGAUUCGUUGGUGAUAGCACUUGCAUAUUCUAAUUAUGUGAUGUCGUUUCUCGCAGUUUCUCCAAUGACCUCAACAAAAACAGAGAUUCAUAUCAAAUUCAAGAUAAAAACUGAGCAAACUUAAUCAAAUUCAUGUAGAUAGAACCAAAUAUUUUUCAUAUUCGACAUACAUUUAAAAAUAAUUGUUUCAGCCUUGCGCAACAGAAGCAAUAUAACCAACAACUUAAUAAAUUUAAGAACAAAUUAAGUUCCAACAAUUUUAGGAAUCGAAACUAUGGAUCAGGAUCAUGGGAACAAACAAUUUAUGCCAUAAAUCGUCUUCAAUCAUGGCUAAUGUCGCUAAACCUAAGCAUAAUCAUGUCCUACUCGUCUUCAAAUUACUCUAAUUCAACUAACAAAACCCCUAAUUUUUCUAAAAUCACAAAACUCUAAUUUCUAUAGCCUCAAACAAACACGAAAUCGAAGCAUGAGAAAGACAUUUGUACCAUGAGCAGCCGAUUGAUGAAGCAAAUACACCGAUUGGUGAAAGAAAGUCGCGGAUCUGCUCAACCCGAGUCGCAGAUUUGCUCAACCAAAGUGGCUGAUCGUGCCUCGCGUCGGUGGAGAUGAUGAUCACGGCGGAUCGAGGACUCGGAGAUCAUUAUUUCUCCUCUGUUUGCUUCCGAUUUCAGUGAUGUAAUCGCCUUUUCCGUGAGAAAUAGAUAGAGAGAAAGGCGAUGAAUCGAGAGAGAGAGAAAGAAACACGGGCAAAGUUUUUUUAGAUAAUUGGGUGAGAGACGCUACUUUUUGAAGUAUUUAAAUUUUUCGGUGCUAGGCCAUAUAACCCAAGACAUUGAUAAUAAUUAGCCAUCCUUUUUUCCGAUUUUAGCCUUACUCGCCUCUCUCCUUUAUUAAAACAAUCGGUCCAACUUUUCUUUUCUGCAACAUCUCGCCUCUUUCGUCUGUUUUCGAAGUUUCUUGAAUUUAGUAAGAUUUUUGGUCGAUUUAUGUUGUUUUUGUGCUUCUAGUCACCGGUGUUGGUUUUAAAUCUUCUGUUUCUCCGUCAUUUGCAACAAAUCCUAACUAUCUAUACUUGUCGUUUUUUUCUUCCCAGAUCCACUUAGUUCUUUACCUAUUUUUUUAGAUCCGGGAACAUGUCGGAUGUAGACCUUCCUGAUAGAUCUACAAACUAUAGAUGCAUAUCUCAUGUUCAUCUCUCUCUUUUCAUUUUGUUCUAAUUUAUUCAACCGAUAAAAAAACAUCGUCUUGUUUAUUAUUCACACCACCAUUGCUUAUUCAUCGGAAAAGAUAACUUUUACGAUACAAAUAAGGAUCUAAAACAUUUUUUGGAUCU